rnacentral:rRNA from 1 species
AACGAACGCUAUCGGUAUGCUUAACACAUGCAAGUCGGACGGACUAAUUAGGGCUUGCUCCAAUUAGUUAGUGGCAGACGGGUGAGUAACACGUGGGGAUCUGCCCAUCAGUACGGAAUAACUUUUAGAAAUAAAAGCUAAUACCGUAUAUUCUCUACAGAGGAAAGAUUUAUCGCUGAUGGAUGAGCCCGCGUCAGAUUAGGUAGUUGGUGAGGUAACGGCUCACCAAGCCGACGAUCUGUAGCUGGUCUGAGAGGAUGAUCAGCGACACUGGGACUGAGACGCGGCCCAGACUCCUACGGGAGGCAGCAGUGGGGAAUAUUGGACAAUGGGCGAAAGCCUGAUCCAGCAAUACCGAGUGAGUGAUAAAGGCCCUAGGGUUGUAAAGCUCUUUUAGCAAGGAAGAUAAUGACGGUACUUGCAGAAAAAGCCCCGGCUAACUCCGUG